GCAGAAGACGCUUGACCUAAGUGUUUGUUAUUGUUAAUUGAAGGAGGCGAAGAAGAAAAAGAAAACUAAUACGGCUGAAGCUAACGUUCUGCAAACGCGAUCUCAAGGGGGACAUCAAGGUGACCAGAUCAGCACCAGGUUCUUUUUCGGCACAAGUCAGCCAGGUGCACCAUCAGGGGACCACCAGUCAGUCAAAUACAUCCGGAUUUGUUGCCUGGCUCGGUCCAUCUUCUCCGGCCACCCGUCACUUCAGAUCAUUCUGGACUGGGCAUCGUAUCUAAAUUGCUUUGCGUGCUGGAGGACAGCGCUUGGGCCAGGUUUCCUGGAGCGACCAGACCAAGCUAUUAUUUGACUUUUCAAGCUUUUGGCAAAACUUUCUGGUCUUUCCACUGAGAGAGAACCUCUUGACCUCCGCAAAUCACCAAAGUGGUCUUGUUCUGGAAAGGUGGCCCGUGAUUCUACAGGGACUUCAUCCAAAUGAAUCAGCGCAAACCAACCAUUUUAACUUUAGCUUGCCGGUUGCUAUGGUAGCAACGCAAUGCUAAUUAACGUAGAAUGAUUACUGGCGAGGUCGAACUGUUGACAAAAGUGACGAUGAUUCAUAGAGGAUGAGAGAUGGUGGCCACUUUGAUUUCAUUCAGUGAUUAUUGCCCAAAAACAUCAUCAACAUUUGCAUAAGAUAAUUUUAUGGAAAGAUUUGGCAUGGGUAUAUCUUUAGGGGCAAAAAUAAAAGCCACGCGUUGGUAGAGGUAAGACUUUCCUUCCUGUUUUCGAUCUUUAGGACCUCACACCAAUGUUUACCUCUAUUUUAUUUUGGUCCAGGAGCUUAAUUUGCCAUUAAAAUUGUGUCAUGUUUGAAAUCACCACCCCGGAUCUCUUGAAGUAGCCGACUAUGUGGGCUGCGGCUGUUGCCGCUGCUACCCUUCAAACAUGGAGUGAACCCUUUGAAAAAUGGAUUGUAGAAGAGAUAAGGAAUAAUUUAUGUUUCUAUCACUGCCUCGCACAAAUAUGGUGGGGAAUGCAGUGCCAAUAACUCCCACAAACUCAGAGAGGCACGCUAUCUUUUACAGCACAAAUUAUUAACAGCGCAGGGGAGGAGGCGGGCUGCAUUUCUGGGGGGCGGGGGGAGCUCCAGAGAUCUGACUGGACCGCUUUAUUAUGAACUAUAAUGCGGCGGUAUCGCUGUUUAAAAGUAAACAUCCAAUAAAGUAUCAUGUAAGAUGCAGCAACAUCACAAAUAAUGUGAAGCGUGUGUUUGUGUGUGUGUGCUUGGGUGUUCCAUGUGCUAUGUGUGUGUGUGUGUGUGUAUGAUUGGCGAAUAAAAGAGGGGAGUGAAAAGGGGGGUGUCGAGGGAGGAUACCCGGGGUCGGGUGUCCGCUCGCCUCUGUCGACCGGCGUUGACAGCUACAGACUGCCGAUCUAAAAUGAGAAUCCUCAUGGGCCGCCUGCCUGCCCAUCCAGCAAGAAAAUAAAUCCCAUGUGGAAAAGGACGCAGUGCGGGAUCACAGACAGCCGCCUGACCCCUCAGAUCCGUCGGGGGAGGCGCAGGGCGCCGGCACGACACCGUGACCCCCGCACCCCGCCGUCGCCGCCGCCUCCUCUUACAGCCCCCUCACUGAUCUUGUGUUUCCUUGGUUCGCCGACGCUCAAAUUCACAACUUUGUUGAUCCAACACCACGUAGCCGUUUUGUCGAAAAUCCGAGUAUGUCGUUUACGUGACUACAACCAAGCACAAUUGGGAAAGUAUUCUGUUGAAUUUCUGAAAUGUUUCGUGUAGAAAUAAAUAUGUUGUCAAAACCAUGAUUCUAAACACUGUAAUAUGCA